rnacentral:rRNA from 1 species
GACGAACGCUGGCGGCGUGCUUUACACAUGCAAGUCGAACGGUGAAGGUGGAGCUUGCUCCGCCGGAUCAGUGGCGAACGGGUGAGUAACACGUGGGCAACCUGCCCCUAACUUUGGGAUAACUACUCGAAAGAGUAGCUAAUACCGGAUAUGAAGUCUGUAGGCAUCUACGGACUUGGAAAGUUUUUCGGUUAGGGAUGGGCCCGCGGACUAUCAGCUUGUUGGUGAGGUAGUGGCUCACCAAGGCGACGGCGGGUAGCCGGCCUGGGAGGGCGACCGGCCACAGUGGGACUGAGACACGGCCCAGACUCCUACGGGAGGCAGCAGUGGGGAAUAUUGCACAAUGGGCGCAAGCCUGAUGCAGCGACGCCGCGUGAGGGAUGACGGCCUUCGGGUUGUAAACCUCUUUCAGUAGGGACGAAGCGCAAGUGACGGUACCUACAGAAGAAGGACCGGCCAACUACGUGCCAGCAGCCGCGGUAA